rfam:Pseudomonas sp. Bc-h sc_001, whole genome shotgun sequence.
CGUUAUGGCGGCUGUAUGUGGGGCACACUUGUGUGCGCCAGGUUUCUUGGUGACUGGUCUGUCAACCCGCCUACAGCCGCCACCCAC